rnacentral:rRNA from 1 species
GUAGGUGGCAAGCGUUGUCCGGAAUUAUGGGCGUAAAGCGCGCGCAGGCGGGUUUUUAAGUCUGAUGUGAAAGCCCACGGGCUCAACCGUGGAGGGUCAUUGGAAACUGGAGAACUUGAGUACAGAAGAGGAAAGCGGAAUUCCACGUGUAGCGGUGAAAUGCGUAGAGAUGUGGAGGAACACCAGUGGCGAAGGCGGCUUUCUGGUCUGUAACUGACGCUGAGGCGCGAAAGCGUGGGGAGCAAACAGGAUUAGAUACCCUGGUAGUCCACGCCGUAAACGAUGAGUGCUAAGUGUUAGGGGGUUUCCGCCCCUUAGUGCUGCAGCUAACGCAUUAAGCACUCCGCCUGGGGAGUACGGCCGCAAGGCUG